rnacentral:rRNA from 1 species
AGCAGUAGCCGCGGUAAUACGGAGGAUCCAAGCGUUAUCCGGAAUUAUUGGGUUUAAAGGGUCCGUAGGCGGUCUUGUAAGUCAGUGGUGAAAGCCCAUCGCUCAACGGUGGAACGGCCAUUGAUACUGCAGGACUUGAAUUAUUGGGAAGUAACUAGAAUAUGUAGUGUAGCGGUGAAAUGCUUAGAGAUUACAUGGAAUACCAAUUGCGAAGGCAGGUUACUACCAAUUGAUUGACGCUGAUGGACGAAAGCGUGGGUAGCGAACAGGAUUAGAUACCCCUGUAGUCCCUGUCUCUUAUAA